rnacentral:rRNA from 1 species
GUUUGAUCCUGGCUCAGAGCGAACGCUGGCGGCAGGCCUAACACAUGCAAGUCGAACGAACCCUUCGGGGUUAGUGGCGGACGGGUGAGUAACACGUGGGAACGUGCCUUUAGGUUCGGAAUAACUCAGGGAAACUUGUGCUAAUACCGAAUGUGCCCUUCGGGGGAAAGAUUUAUCGCCUUUAGAGCGGCCCGCGUCUGAUUAGCUAGUUGGUGAGGUAAAGGCUCACCAAGGCUACGAUCAGUAGCUGGUCUGAGAGGAUGACCAGCCACAUUGGGACUGAGACACGGCCCAAACUCCUACGGGAGGCAGCAGUGGGGAAUCUUGCGCAAUGGGCGAAAGCCUGACGCAGCCAUGCCGCGUGGAUGAUGAAGGUCUUAGGAUUGUAAAAUCCUUUCACCGGUGAAGAUAAUGACUGUAGCCGGAGAAGAAGCCCCGGCUAACUUCGUGCCAGCAGCCGCGGUAAUACGAAGGGGGCUAGCGUUGCUCGGAUUUACUGGGCGUAAAGGGCGCGUAGGCGGACAUUUAAGUCAGGGGUGAAAUCCCGGGGCUCAACCUCGGAACUGCCUUUGAUACUGGAUGUCUUGAGUGUGAGAGAGGUGUGUGGAACUCCGAGUGUAGAGGUGAAAUUCGUAGAUAUUCAGAAGAACACCAGUGGCGAAGGCGACACACUGGCUCAUUACUGACGCUGAGGCGCGAAAGCGUGGGGAGCAAACAGGAUUAGAUACCCUGGUAGUCCACGCCGUAAACGAUGAUUGCUAGUUGUCGGACUGCAUGCAGUUCGGUGACGCAGCUAACGC